UGGUCGAGUCGGCCUGCGCGGAAGAUUUAACGGGGCUAAGCGGUAUACCGAAGCUAGGGAUGCACAGCAAUGUGCGUGGUAGAGGAGCGUUCUGUACGCCUGCGAAGGUGGCUUGUAAAGGCUGCUGGAGGUAUCAGAAGUGCGAAUGCUGACAUGAGUAACGAUAAUGCGGGUGAAAAGCCCGCACGCCGAAAGCCCCAGGUUUCCUUGCGCAACGUUCAUCGGCGCAGGGUGAGUCGGCCCCUAAGGCGAGGCAGAAAUGCGUAGUCGAUGGAAAGCUGGUUAAUAUUCCAGCACCGCUCGUGAUUGCGAUGGGAUGACGGAGAAGGCUAGGUGUACCGGGCGUUGGUUGUCCCGGGGAAAGGCGGUAGGUGUGGGUCUUAGGCAAAUCCGGGACCCUCUACACCGAGCACCGAGACGAGUUCAUUAGAACGAAGUCACCGAGGCCACGCUUCCAGGAAAAGUCUCUAAGCUUCAGAUCACGAGGACCGUACCGUAAACCGACACAGGUAGGCAGGGUGAGAAUCCCAAGGCGCUUGAGAGAACUCGGGUGAAGGAACUAGGCAACAUAGCACCGUAACUUCGGGAGAAGGUGCGCCCAGUAUCGUGGUGAUAUGCAUCACUGAGCGAUAUUGGGCCGCAGUGACCAGGCCGCUGCGACUGUUUAUCAAAAACACAGCACUCUGCAAACACGUAAGUGGACGUAUAGGGUGUGACGCCUGCCCGGUGCCGGAAGGUUAAUUGAUGGGGUCAGCCGCAAGGCGAAGCUCUUGAUCGAAGCCCCGGUAAACGGCGGCCGUAACUAUAACGGUCCUAAGGUAGCGAAAUUCCUUGUCGGGUAAGUUCCGACCUGCACGAAUGGCGUAACGACAGCGGCGCUGUCUCCACCCGAGACUCAGUGAAAUUGAAAUCGCUGUGAAGAUGCAGCGUUCCCGCGGCAAGACGGAAAGACCCCGUGAACCUUUACUACAGCUUUACACUGAACGUUGAGUUCGUCUGUGUAGCAUAGGUGGGAGCCUUUGAAGUCCAGGCGCUAGCUUGGAUGGAGGCGACGUUGAAAUACCACCCUGAUGUGCUUGACGUUCUAACCUAGGCCCGUAAUCCGGGUCAGGGACCGUGUAUGGUGGGUAGUUUGACUGGGGCGGUCUCCUCCUAAAGAGUAACG
rnacentral:rRNA from 1 species